AUUUGGCGGAGCAGCCGAGUAAGUCAUCGACACCACCCUUGCCUGCGAGUGUGGGCCUGAUCGGGCUGCGGCGUGGCACAGGUCGUGAACCCCGCUGGGGCUCCACACUGCUCCCUCGACCUGCCGCCGUGACGAGUCACCGCAUUGUCGGAUGCACACGUUGGCGGCACGGAAUCGCUCAAGAUAAACGCGUGCAGCGGACAUCUCGUCCAUCUCAAUGGCCACCCAAGAUAUGGACCCUCUCAAAGGGCAGGUGCACUCGGGGACGUCACCUGCUUAGCAACAUCAGCCACGUCACCGCGGGAUUUUGGGGCCGCUGCGAAAUGUCAACUCCCUCGCCAGCAACGAAGGAAGAUAGCAACGGACGAGUCAAUUUGUCCUUCCAAAGGUCGGUGGGCUUUCUGCCACUUUGCCCAAACACCGAAGCGUCACGAAUUUCUCUGCGCGCAGGUCUCGGCAAUGGAAUCUUUUGACUAAGAGGUAGAAACAGAGCCACACAAUUGCCCCUUGAUCCACGUAGCCACCCACUAAGCCACUUGAGCCACCCUCUAAGCCAGAUAAUUACCCCCUGAGCCCCCACAGCCACAACACCCCGAGCCUCAGAUCUCAGGGGCUGCGUGAGCACAGGGAUGGGCUCAAAGUUAGCACUUGGAUGAGCAUCCACUGAAGAGAUGUUAGGUCCGCUGGGGGGGGUGGGCAGCGUCAGAUGCUCAGUGCACAGUAGGUGGCUCUCUCCCCUCUGGGCCACGGUUCAUUCCACCCAGUGCCCAAGGAUGGCACUGAUGAGUAUGGUGCUGCAGGAAGUGCUGUUCGGGGGGGGGAUGUGAAGACUUCUGCUAUGCUCUGCAGAUAACGUAGCUCCUGCGGUGCACUUCAUUAAAGCGGCUGGUGAUCGCUGUAGUGUCUCGGCUAAAAUGCCACUCGAUAAAAUAAACCUCACGAAAUGCAUAAUUAACGCUGCCAAAUAACAGCAUAAUAGUAGUUGGUUGAUUGAAUUGUUCAGAGUGGAGACAGCAGAUAAAUGUAAGAAUUUUACAGUCAGUAUAUAUGAAAACUGGCAAAACGUUUUUUGUUGUUGUCUAAUUCGGUCAAUAAUUCUGCCCUCUGCUCUGAAGAAGAGCCCUUGUCCAAAUGGAAUGAUGAUGAUGUGUGAUUUUUUUUUUUUAGGCAGCACUAUUGCCAAAUUUUAGUGAGUCUUGUUUGUAGGUCAGUGCAGGGUGGUGUAGGCAGUGGCCUGGGACCGGUGCCACUCACAUUAGCCAUGGUCGAGGAAUCGAACCCAUGUUGCCAGGUUGAUAUAGCAGCACACCGAACAUUACGCCACCACUCCCACCAAACAUGCAGUACGUGAUGUGAUAAAACCACGCGACUAACCUCCAAGCUGCGUGGAUAAAACCGUUCCCACCCUGCCACUCUCUGAGCUGCAAAGCGUUUCCCCUGAGCGAAUGCCAACUCCCCAGCGCGUUUCGUUUGUCGCAUCCGCGGGAACGUUUCGAAGGUCGGGUAAAUCACGAGCCGCUUUGGCACCGCCGAGAGAGCGUCCGGAUAAAUCUCCACUCGGGGAAGACCGAUAUGAGACUCACGUGAGCCUGGGAACGUCGCCUGAAUCUCGGGGGAUAAAAAUAAUAACUCGCGCCGCUGGCACGUGGCGUUCAUGAACAGGUGCGCUCGGCAACAGAAUAAUUUGUCUCGCCAAUUCGGGUCGCCGGUGCCCCGCUGUUUAAUAUUCAAUCCGGCGUUACCUCUCCGC